UUGACCUCAAAUCAGGCG
rnacentral:rRNA from 1 species